UGGGGAUUUAGCAUUUCUUUUGUUCGAGAAAGUUGGGUCCAAUGGCAAGGUGACUGGUCUUGAUUUCUCAAAGGAGCAAUUGUCAAUUGCUUCGUGUCGGCAAGGCUUGGCCCUCAAUGCCUGCUACAACAAUAUAGAGUGAGCAUUGGUGGGUUGAAGGCGAUGCACUUGAGUUACCAUUUUCUGAUGGUUACUUUGAUGCCAUUACAAUGGGUUAUGGGCUACGAAAUGUGGUUGAUAAAGAAAGAUCCAUGCAGGAGAUGUUUAGAGUUCUGAAACCAGAAGGAUGCUAUAGAGAAGGGUCUAGUUAGCAUGGAAGAUGUUGAAAUGGCGACAUCUCAAGCAUAUCUAAGGGUCACUAUGAACAUCACAACCUUUGCUUUGUGCUACUCCAACAAAUGGCUUUUUUCUAUUCUAUAUUUUUUCAGGUGAGAACCAAUGUUGUGGGAAGUUUCUUUUGGUUUUGAGUAUAGUUGUCUUUAAGUUAUGUGGAAGUGGGAAAUAUUACUUGAGUUUGGUUUCAGCUUUGUAUUUAAUGGUAUGGAUAGUUGGUGUGCUCGCAAAUUCGAUCAAGGUAAAGAAUCAUUUAUGGUUUCCAACUAUGUUUUAAUGAAGUAUCUAAUGCUAAACAUUUUAUCCAAUUGAGCUGAUAUGUAUGCCCAUAGUUGUGUGAAUUAAAUUAGUCGUAUAUAAUUUUUGCCUACACAGAGUCUCAUGCGCUCUCUUAGUCUUGGGUUCAUAUGUCACAUGUUUUACCUUUCCAGCUUUAAGCUUUGGCCUUCACCUUUUGAUAUAGUGGUUUUAACUUGAACCUUAUUGCAUAUUUCUUGUUUUUUAAGGUGAAUAGAGCAUAAACUCAAAAUGAAGAAGGAACCCGUCUAUAAAAAUCACCUACUGCUUACCACCGGCCUUAUUUUGAAAUUGCAGCAAAUUACAGAUUAAAAAAAUUUUCAUAUAUUACUAGAUAAUACCAUUUCUUAUGUUAGUGAACUUUUAUUGAGUAUGGUAAUGCAAUGAUGUUUGUUACCUUUAAAUGAUAACAUCAUUGUAUUUACUUUAUUAAAAUGGAUCAUUUACAUUUUAAGGCUGUGACUUUACUAUGGAAGAUUUGCUCUGAUUCACAUAAAUAACUAUUCUUACAUUAUUGAGUAAUCUUGGUUUGUAUGCACUUACUAAAUGACCAAGAUGAAAAAUCCUAAAUCUCUAAGCUUUUCUUGUCAUUCUAUUCGAUCCAUUUAUAUGCACUUAUUAAGUAAUCUUGAUUUGUAUGUAGGACGUUCAUUGGGUCCAACAAUCUCCAGCUCUCCAAAAAUCAUCAACUGCAUCCCAUCCACCAAGCUGCUUAUAAGUUUUAUGUUGGUGUUCGAUGACUUUUUGUGUACAAAGAACUACAUUUGAACAAGCGCAUUUUUUGGAAGUGUUGAAGUAUUUGUUUAAAUACUUUGGAACUUUGAUUGUGGUAUUAGCUUGAAACUUUGAUUGUGGUUAUAGACAAUGUUAUGUAUUUGAUAAUAUAUUUCUAUGUUAAUAUUACAUUAGUUUCAAGACA